UACGAAGGGGGCUAGCGUUGUUCGGAAUCACUGGGCGUAAAGCGCACGUAGGCGGAUCUUUAAGUCAGGGGUGAAAUCCCGAGGCUCAACCCUCGGAACUGCCUUUGAUACUGGGGAUCUCGAGUCCGGGAGAGGUGGAGUGGAACUGCGAGUGUAGAGGUGAAAUUCGUAGAUAUUCGCAAGAACACCAGUGGCGAAGGCGGCUCACUGGCCCGGAACUGACGCUGAGGUGCGAAAGCGUGGGGAGCAAACAGGAU
rnacentral:rRNA from 1 species